GAUGAACGCUGGCGGCGUGCCUAACACAUGCAAGUCGAACGGAGUUAUUUUGGAAAGUCCUUCGGACUGGAAUCUAUAACUUAGUGGCGGACGGGUGAGUAACGCGUAAGCAAUCUACCUAUUAGAGGGGAAUAACAAUGAGAAAUCAUUGCUAAUACCGCAUAUGCCAUAGUUAUCACAUGGUGACAGUGGGAAAGGAGCAAUCCGCUAAUAGAUGAGCUUGCGUCUGAUUAGUUAGUUGGUGGGGUAACGGCCUACCAAGACGACGAUCAGUAGCCGGACUGAGAGGUUGAACGGCCACAUUGGGACUGAGAUACGGCCCAG
rnacentral:rRNA from 1 species